GUUAUAUAGCAACUAGUGCUAUUGGAGCACUGGCCCACCCUGCUCUCCAAAUGCUCCGCCCCAGGGACCCUUACCAUGGUUUGCAGAGUACCAACAAUGUAUCUUGCAAUGUAUCCAAAAUCUCUCCCUGGGGCAUUUAAUUGAGAAACCUCAGGCUGCCGUUUAGUAAAUCAGGCCUAAUGUAUCUUCCCUCAGCAACCAUUCCAC